ACUACUGGUCUCAAAUAAUUCAUCCUAUUGUAAUGUAACUAUCAGGGAAGGGCCAAAUCUCCAAGUUGUUUAUGUGGAUUUCAAGUACCAGCUUUGUCAAGUCCUAUGAUUUUAUCAUGAGUCUUGCUAUAAUUAAUGUUUUACAUAUAGCCUCUGCUCCAGAGUCAUGAGAAUAUGUGAGAACCCCUGCUCCAGAGUCAUGAGAUUACGUGAGAAUCUCUGUUUUCAUUUAAAAAAUAAAAGUAAGUUUCUAGCCCCCGUGGUUGUGAAGAAAGACUUUAAAAGAUGAGUCUUAAAGGCUCAAAAACCAAAAUGCAAAUAAAAAUAACCUCCAGGUAUUUUUUUAAUCUCAUUAUUUUGAGGGCCUGACUUCUGAGCUUUGAAUGUUUGGGGUUGGCAACACUGCCAUAUAUUGGGGUGUUUUCACCUGGGUGUUUGAGGUAGCCCCAUUGCAAAAAUAUGAGCCAUUUGCAAAAUUCAGAUCUAGACCUGUAUUUAAGAUUUCGAACAUCCACAAAGUUCAAGGGCAUUGGUGUGGGCCCAUCUCUAGUUACUGGAGUAUUUGUAUUCAGUUUUAUAUCGUUUCUGGCCUUUUAAAAAUCCAUAGACUCAGUGAAUGGAGAAAAUACUUAUAUGCUGGGCUGUGCCUCAUGGGUACAGCAUGUAGCCAAGAGGCAAGUGUAGAGCUACACACCAUCAGAGGGAGUUCUCUGAGAUGUUGUGGAGUUUGUGGGGCAAAGAGAUCAGGUAACUACUGCUACUUGUUUACUACAUGAUUGGGUAGCUCUGCUGGCUGGUGUGCACAGGGGGAAUAGAGCCCUGGCCCUUCCACCACCCACCCCACCCCCAGGGGAGUAGGAAGGGAUUGGAAUUCUGCCAAACCCUUAUGUGGCCCCCACAAGUGGGAGAGUAAUUUCCCUUUGCCCUCUCUCUCACACACAGAUUGCACACCUAUGAAAGUCAGAUAACUCUUAUCCUCAGUGUUUUCCUGACGGUUGGCAAAAUCACUGCCAAUAACUUCUCAUAUUGUUAUUACCAAAUGAUGUGCACACUUCACUGGAACUCAACAGAUAACAAUAAUACUGGCACCUACCAAUAUUGACCAGGUUCCUUCACUUUUGAGCAUUUUUGUUUCUGCUGUUGUUUCCACUAGUGCUGCCAAAAUUGUUUAGCCCUCACUUUCAACACGUUUCCUUAAAGAGCUCUGAACAAGAGUCGUUUUCCCAAAUGCCUUUUGUUUGCAUUCUAGUUAAAGCAACAGUUAUAGAGCAAACUGCAGUAUAAAUCUACAGAGAAAGAGACUACCUCUGUCUCAGCUGUGGUGAGGCACAUUUUUCAGGUCUGAGAACACCCCAGAGAACUUUGAACACAUCUACUAACUUCAAAGCAAGAAACCCAGAGACUUGCAACACAUCUUGCUUUCAUGGCCUAAACAGUAUAAUCAGUGACUUUAUCCAGGACUGCACAAUAAUGUUCCUGUUCACUGGGGAAUAGAGCAUAGCAAUUUUUACACAGCAGCAACAUCAUGUUUUAAUCCUGCAUACUCCACAAAUAUCAGCCUAGGUCUUCUGCUUUUUUUAUGCCAAGCAGAAAAAAGAAAGGAAGGAAAAGAAAUUUGUUUUAAAAUGCAGAAGGAAGAAAAAUUCCAAUAGCAUCUUAUUCCAUAAGUAAUGUCAUUAAAGUUGUUUGGAUUCCACACAAACAGAGGCACGGGGAUGUAGGAGACUGAGACAUCAAUUAGGUGGCUAUGGGAUGCAACUAAUGAAGAUGACUGAGAGAAUGAGACUGAACACAGUCAAUAUAUACAGCAAAGAGUAUAUAACAGGGAGAAAAAACAAUGAAGGAACCACACAGAAAAAGGAAGUUGCAUUGGACACAGGAUUUCUAUGGAACUAACCAAAGAAGCAGAAAUCGUGGCUAGGAAAUUUUUUUUCAAAGUUUGCCUCUUCAUCCGCCAAACUCAUUCUAAAAAUGGACAAAGCUGCUGUGUCCGCAGAAGAAGCUGGCAAGAAAGAGAGCAUAAGAAAACCAUACCACUGAUCCAAAUGAACAGGGAGAGUGUGCUGGACUGAGAUUAUAUCCUAACUGGCUGUAGACAACUGCUGCUUUUCCAAAAAGUACUCAUUACACCUAGAAGCAUUUAAAAGUCCCAUUGCAUGUGAAUACAGCCUGUAACUUAUUUAAAUUGCAUGUUUACUGCACCAGCGAAGAUACAAUACCAGAUAUUUUACCAAGAAGGCAAGCUCUCUAUCUAAUCAUUUGCACAAUCAAGUAAUAAUGAUGUCUUUUGUUUUCUCUGAUACUUUAUCAUCUGUGUACAUAAAACUUACCUUACUGCCUUCGGCUUCUAGAAGACUCUCUACAGCACUCAAAUACUGUAUAGGCCCCGCAGGACCUUUGCACUGGGAUGAAUUUCAUCUUUUUUAAAACAUCUGGUUGUUCUUUGGCUUAUCAGUAUUGAGCAGAGUUGGGUGGGAAGCUAUUUUCCAUUUCAUGAGAAUUUUCAAGAAGUGAAAAUGUUUCCCAGCCCAAAUAGAGACAAAAAGGUGAAAUCUCGAAAAUGUACACAAACCCAAAAUAAA